AUUGAACGCUGGCGGCAGGCCUAACACAUGCAAGUCGAGCGGAUGAAGGUAGCUUGCUACCUGAUUCAGCGGCGGACGGGUGAGUAAUGCCUAGGAAUCUGCCUGGUAGUGGGGGACAACGUUUCGAAAGGAACGCUAAUACCGCAUACGUCCUACGGGAGAAAGUGGGGGAUCUUCGGACCUCACGCUAUCAGAUGAGCCUAGGUACGAUUAGCUAGUUGGUGAGGUAAAGGCUCACCAAGGCGACGAUCGUUAACUGGUCUGAGAGGAUGAUCAGUCACACUGGAACUGAGACACGGUCCAGACUCCUACGGGAGGCAGCAGUGGGGAAUAUUGGACAAUGGGCGAAAGCCUGAUCCAGCCAUGCCGCGUGUGUGAAGUAGGUCUUCGGAUUGUAAAGCACUUUAAGUUGGGAGGAAGGGCAGUAAGUUAAUACCUUGCUGUUUUGACGUUACCGACAGAAUAAGCACCGGCUAACUUCGUGCCAGCCGCCGCCGUAAUAC
rnacentral:rRNA from 1 species